CAGCAGCACGGGAAUACAGAGGGUGCGAGCGUUAAUCGGAUUUACUGGGCGUAAAGCGUGCGUAGGCGGCUUCUUAAGUCGGAUGUGAAAUCCCUGAGCUUAACUUAGGAAUUGCAUUCGAUACUGGGAAGCUAGAGUAUGGGAGAGGAUGGUAGAAUUCCAGGUGUAGCAGUGAAAUGCGUAGAGAUCGGAAGGAACAUCUGUGGCGAAGGCGACUAUCUGGGCCAACACUGACACUGAGGCACGAAAGCGUGGGGAGCAAACAGGAUUAGAUACCCCAGUAGUCCCUGUCUCUUAUACA
rnacentral:rRNA from 1 species